UGUAAAAAAUGGCUGUGAAAUCUACAGUUAUUUACUGUACAUUUCACAGUUACAUUACUGUAUAAGAUUUUCACAGUAAAACAUUUUAAAGUUUACAGUCAGACUGUAAAAAUCACAGUAGUCCAAGCAUUACAGUUGAAAUCACAGUAAUCAAAUCAUUACUGUAAAAAAUCACAAUAUAGCCACUAUGGUACUGUAAAUAGUAAAGUAAACUACUGUAAUUUUCCUUUUUUUCAUAUCUUUCUUUGUACCCCUUUCACAUGGAUGGCCCCCGAUUAUUUUUGUUCAGAAUUCAUUACCGGAAUAUGAUAUAUAAAUACUCGAUGGUGAGCUUUAAGUAAAAGUGUAAUAUUAAUAAAUUAAAAUGUGUCAUGUAACUUGUACUCUGCUGUACCUGCUAAGCGAUUAUUUUUGUUCAGAAUUUAUUACCGGAAUAUGAUAUAUAAAUACUCGAUGGUGAGCUUUAAGUAAAAGUGUAAUAUUAAAAAAUUAAAAUGUGUCAUGUAACUUGUACUCUGCUGUACCUGCUGCAGGAGCUUUCUAUUCCAUACAAUAUAUAAUUUUUAAAGAAUUCCCAUAAGAUUCCAAGAAUAUAUAUAUAUUUUUUGUGAAUGUAAAUGGGUGUUUGGGUGUAAAAAUGGGUGUUAACAGGGCAAUAAAAUAUUUGAUAAGCUUUAUCUUAAACUUCUCCAAAGUCUUCCCUGACAUGGUCUAACAAUAUAGGGUUCAUAAAAGCAUAAUUUUUGAAGAUAUAAUCCUCAGAUUUAAAAAUGAAGCAUGACCAUUGGUUAUAAAUUGCAAUAGUAUAUUCUAGGGUUGUGGCGAGAUCUCAUGCGACGAUAUCUCGCGAGAUUAAAUAUGUCACGAGAUUUCUCGUGGAAGUGAAAUGCUGGCCGUUUCUCAAACAAAAGGCUGCAUCCUUAGGAGGUCGCAUUUGUAGACUGCAUACGUCAUAAAGACUGACUUAUUACAGAAUAUUAACAAUUAUAAAGUUUUACACUAUUAUAUUUAGUUAAUCAUAAAUUGUUGUAAUAUGCUUAUGACUUGCGAAUGUAAUGCUCAGUUAACUGAAAUAAAGCAGGCUUGAUGACGUAUGGAGCCUGCACAUGCGACCUCCGGAGGCUGCAGCUUUCUGUUUUUAUUUUUUAGCAUAUAUAUCUCAAUAUUAAUAACAUCUUUUUAUAUAUAUUUACAAAAAUCUGUCAUUUUUUUUCUUCGGAAGCAGCUGCAGUAGAGAUAAACGUGCAAGUUUCCAGAACUGUUUCUGAGCUGCAGGGCGAAAUCAAAGCGCCGACGGAGUGGGCGGGGUUUACCCAACCCAGUCUAGAAAGUUCAAUCUGUGGGAAAAUAGCGCGAAAGAAGCAACACUUGAAUUUCUGACUCGUCGUUAGUGACAGAAAAGCUCCAUUAAUUAUCAAAUUAACGUUUCUUUACACACGACUUUGUCUUGUGGUUGUAUUUAUUUCGUUUUCGUCUUUGUGUUGAUUUCUUUCACGUUUUGCCUGAGAGGAAUUCAGCGAAAAGGAAUUCAGCGAUAACGUUUCUGUGAGAGCUUUGACGGAGACGUUUUCACAGCCGUUAACGUUAAUAUAUUUUUCCCACCCGUGGCUUCUGCCGGAGUUUCCAUCUUGGAAUCGCGGAUCCUUCACCAAAUGCUUAUACCCUUAUCGAGACUUCCAUAUAAGCAAGUACCACUCCCGCAGACGCAGAGGCCCAUCUGUCUCUCCCAGUCACUCCAAGGAUCAUCAUGCUCGGAGAGACAAUCCUGACUGCAAAAAAACGGAUGCUGUCAAUCGAGGAAAGGGUCGUAAUCCCACCUGGUGCUCACAUGGCGUACUUUACCACUGCAUUGGCUGCUUUCUUCGCCUGUGACUAUGUAUUCAACCUAAAGUAUCAGGUGGAAGCCAGCACAACACUGGAGUUUGUUCAGAGGUUUUUAGUCAGGAUUAAUCCUGACUCCAACAAGUGCACUGCCAAGGAGCAGAUGAGCAAGACGACAGGGAGAGUGGUGAAGCGGAAAACAUCAUACAUGAACCCCCAUGUAAUCUCCUUCAUCAGGGACUUCACAGAGUUCUAUUUGCUAACUGACUAGAUACAGGUCUCCAAGGUCAGGGCAUGCAAGAAGUCAGAUCUUUGUCAAGUGGCAGGGGAAGUUUAUUUUCCUUUCUGUUUUAGAUGUUUAUGCAAAUGUUAAAUAUUUUAUUAUUUAAUGUUCAAUGUUUUAUUUUAUUUCAAUAUUGCCAUAGUGUUAUUUAUUGCUCUUUAGAAUGUGGUAAUAAUCAGUUUUUUGCACGGCUUGAAAGUAGUUAAUUUUUUUGACCGUAUUGUAUCAAUUUGCAUUAUUGUUAGGUCAUAGCAACCAGUCAUGCGGAACUAGUGAAUGAACUAGUAACAGUUCGCUCUGUAUGUUGCAUGUUGUCCAAUGUCCAUUAUCCCUUUAUGUUGUACCUGUUUGGUCAUUCCUGUUCCCCAAAUGAUUUUUAAUAAAUAACUAUUAACAAUU